rnacentral:rRNA from 1 species
GACGAACCGUGCGAACGUUGUUCGGAAUCACUGGGCGUAAAGGGCGCGUAGGCGGCUUUAUAAGUCGGGGGUGAAAGCCUGUGGCUCAACCACAGAAUUGCCUUCGAUACUGUAGAGCUUGAGACCGGAAGAGGUAAGUGGAACUGCGAGUGUAGAGGUGAAAUUCGUAGAUAUUCGCAAGAACACCAGUGGCGAAGGCGGCUUACUGGUCCGGUUCUGACGCUGAGGCGCGAAAGCGUGGGGAGCAAACAGG